UUAGUACUCCCUCCGUCCGGAAAUACUUGUCAUCAAAAUGGAUAAAAUGAGACGUAUCUGACGUAUUUUAGUUCUAGAUACAUCUAUUUUUAUCCAUUUUGAUGACAAAUAUUUUCGCACGGAGGGAGUAUGAA
rfam:Triticum aestivum genome assembly, contig: Triticum_aestivum_CS42_TGACv1_scaffold_576904_7BL